rnacentral:pre_miRNA from 1 species
AUGCUCAUCCCUUUGCUUCUGGUGUUAUAUAUAUGUAUAUAUAUAUAUAUAACACCAGAAGCAAAGGGAUGAGCAU